rnacentral:rRNA from 1 species
UACAGAGGGUGCAAACGUUGUUCGGAUUUACUGGGCGUAAAGCGCGUGUAGGCGGUUUCCCAAGUCGGAUGUGAAAGCCCGGGGCUCAACCUCGGAAGUGCAUUCGAUACUGGAAGACUGGAGUCUCGGAGAGGAUGGUGGAACUCUCGGUGUAGAGGUGAAAUUCGUAGAUAUCGAGAAGAACACCGGUGGCGAAGGCGGCCAUCUGGACGAUGACUGACGCUGAGACGCGAAAGCGUGGGGAGCAAACAGG